CUGGUUGUUGUUAGUCUAAAAAAAUUCCAACCACACUUUCAUGUACACUAGGAAAGCAAUCUGGAUGGACAGCUUCUCCAAAAAGCUGCAGAUGUUGUAGGGAAAAAAACAAGUGUGUGGCCAUGGCUUGAUGGCAUGGAGUGAUCUCAAAAACUUCAGCAGUUCAUGUAGGUUUGUCAUUAACAGGAAUUUUAAAUUCAAGAAAUUCGCAUGAAUAAUUUUAUUCCUGUGUUUCAUGUAAUAAUAAUUUAAAAAGAAAUCCAUCCCAGACAGCUAAACAGAAAGUGACCAUGAGUGGUUGUGCUACUACCCCCUGAGGAAUAAACUUUAAAUGGAAUCCAGAGCUGUCUUAGCAGUUCUGUCAAGGUGACUUCAUAUGAAAAAAAAUAUGGCUAUUUUGGUUGGACUACCUAUGAAGAAAUAAAAGUGUAUUCCAGUGUAUUUCCAGUGUAUUCCAGUGUAUUCCAGUAUAUUGGACCUGACCCACUGCAUAGCUGCAUGAGCUGAAGAACUGGAGGAGAAUGGAAGACAGAAUACACAAGAAAGAAGAUGGAACCAUCUAGUUCAGCAGCUCAGCUUUAGAAUGGCUUUUGAAAAUGCAUCCUCUGUCGUGCAGAAAUUUAGGUUUCAUAGAAACCACCUAAAUGCAGGCAUAGUUCUUUCAAAUCAGCUGUCUAUUAUUUACGUAGGAAAAAACACCUCCUUUUUUAAUAGGGUGAUUACUCUUUAUAUACAAGCUGAUUUUCCUCCCUAAUUUGCCUCUUCAGAAGAAGUAUAAUGGAUAGGAGGCCCUCCAAGUGAGUAUAUAUGAAAAUGAU